UACGAAGGGGGCUAGCGUUGCUCGGAAUCACUGGGCGUAAAGGGUGCGUAGGCGGGUUUUUAAGUCAGGGGUGAAGUCCUGGAGCUCAACUCCAGAACUGCCUUUGAUACUGAAGAUCUUGAGUCCGGGAGAGGUGAGUGGAACUGCGAGUGUAGAGGUGAAAUUCGUAGAUAUUCGCAAGAACACCAGUGGCGAAGGCGGCUCACUGGCCCGGUACUGACGCUGAGGCACGAAAGCGUGGGGAGCAAACAGG
rnacentral:rRNA from 1 species